rnacentral:lncRNA from 1 species
GCCAAAGUACUUGGUUUUGAUCACUGAUUAAUCCCACACACAUACUGAAUACCUACUACGUGUCGGGCUAAGGUAAGUACUGUGUUUAAGAUCGACUCCAUUCCCCAGGUUCUUUAGUGUGAGCGUCCUUCUUACCAUUCCUGACAGAAGAUGGUGUUGAACUGCCUUGGCACUGGCUGUGGUUUACAUUCUGAAAGAUCCUUUCAAAAAGCCAAGCCUUGUUGGGAGCCAGGACUAAGUCAUAGGGGUGUGACCUUGAACAAUUUUAUUAGCCUCUUGUCACCUCGGCUUUCACAUGAUCUGUACAGUGGAGAGGUCUGGAGGACCUAACCAAGAUGAUGGCUCUUAGAAUGCCAUCCUUACCAAAAUUUUCCUCUUUCCCAAAGCGCCUCUACCUCCUAGGGUCUGGGACUUCCUGUUUGCUUCUCACUCCCACAGCUUCCUGCUGUGCUGUUCUCUGGCGCCAUUUCUCCCUGUCUCUGGGGAAGAUAAUAGGAGCUGAGAAGGCUCCCUGGAGCAGCCUCUUCCAUGAGCUAUUUCAUGACUCAUGGACUGUAGGGGGUGCUGGCCUGAGAGGGGAAAAGGAAAAUUUGCCUUUGUUUCUGCCUUUUGCUUAAAAGAAACAACUCAAGGAACCUGCAGUCUCAGGCCACCUCCUCUUCUACACAAGGUAUUGGACCAUUUGCAAAAAUGACAAAACAAAAAACUCUGGAAUUAGCCUACAGAACAAACAGGGAGAGCUGUUUGACUAUUUUAAUACUUCUCGUGAUUGCCCCCCUCCCCCGACCCUUGUAAAUCCUCUUUGCUUUGCACUCCUAAAAAAAUGAAAGUGACAGGCUACUGGCUUAUCACCCAAUGAAGAGGAGAAACAGCCCUUUGGCUUUUGAGCAGCUCAUGCGAUUCUUCUCCUGCAAAAGUUUGAGGGAAUUCCUUUCAGAAAAGUCAUGUGUGAGGAGGGUAAAUGGUUGCAGCUGGAUUAACACCCUGCCUGUUUUGUCCUGAGGCGUCAGUGGCAUCUUUUUCUCUAAAGUUGAUCCCAUUUUCCAGAACACAAAGCCAGGAAGGCACACUUGUCCCUUGCUGCCUUGGCUGGAUGAUAGUGUUGGGAGGGUCUCCCUUACACCUUAAGUGUGGAAAAGAAAGAGUUGCUCCGGUGAGGCAUCUGCAUCUCUGGCCCCGUGCCCCGUGAUUCACCACAUGUGCUUUGGUCAAGUUUCUGCUGUGGUUGGCUAGUUAAUGUUAUUGGAGGAAACAAUGAAUUUUUCUUCCCCCCCCCCCGUGCAGCUGAAGACGAGCUGGAAUUUUUCAAGCAUCACACACAAAUUUCUCUUCAUUUUUCCCAUUUGAAUGAUCUCUGUUGCCCAAUAGCUGGAAGACUCCAGAGGUCCUCCCAUGCCUGAGGCCAUAACUUCCCAAGCAGCCAGGAUCUCUCUUUUUUCUUGUCAGUAUGGAAAACCUCUUCGUGCCUUUGGUUAAGUUGAAUUUGGCUGUGUUGAAGGUUGACAUGGCUAAACAAGCAUCGGUUCCAACAUCUUGCCCCAGGGAAAUGACAGUAUUUGUAUCAUGGCUGAGCCCAAAGAUCUCCUUGCCCAGGUUGACUCCCUCUCCAUAAUGGAGGCAGCACAACCAUAAUUUUUCACACUUCUCAAUUCACUGUUUACAGUUGAGCCUGUGUGUGUUUUCUGCUGUAAUACAUGGCAGACAUAAUCAAUGACAUAACCAGUGACAUUUCCAUGCAUGACCCACCCACAUGGAGGCGUUGAUGCAGCUCUGACUGCCACUGUUUUCUUUCCUAGUUGAGGAAACAUGUCAGAAUGUAGGGUUGCAAGAGGAGCUUUAUUAUAUGAGAGCCUUCAGUUCCUUUAGUAUAGGUAGGAAAGCUUAAUGGUUUGAAAAUUUGAGAAGUUGUUCUAUCCUUAGCUUCAAACAGCUGAUGACACAUCUGGACUGACAGGUCAUCUAGAGUCAUUGAGAACCACGACUUUCCAUUCCAGAGAUUUUCCACGGACCUCUUGUCCAGAAGUUUGGUUGGUAUUGGAGCACCAUGGCUCAGUUUGUUAGGAAUUGUGUUUUUCACUUUGAAAACCAGGGCCACGAAAAGGUUUGUGGGCCUGAGAGUCAGAGUGAUCUACCUGGUACAUUAACAGCAGAUGUCUCAGGCAAGUCUGGUAUGUAACCAUCAGAUCAGCUUAUCUCUGGGUCCUUCCUCUUUUGCCUUUCCCUCCCCUAAGUAGGAUAUGCUAAGAGGAAGAAUGUCAUUCAGGGGCCCCAAAAGAGUAAAAUAGUUUUGCUGUGGGGAGCAAUGCUUUUAGUGAUGUGUGGACCUCGGAGAGGUGAAAGGGUAAAUUGUACGUGAAAAAAUAAGGGGGUAAGUUAAAGCCUUGGUUUUGGGACAGGAGGGAGAAAGGAAGAGUCUGGGUAGGAACUGUGGGGUAGGAGCAUUCUGAGAUCCACUGAGCAAGCAGAACCACCUGCCUCAUGUCAAUAAGCUGUGUGAGCCCAUUGCUGACAAGAUGUUCAAGUGGCCGGAAGUGGAAGUGGCUUGGCCCUACAAAAUCUGCUCCCUUUUUAGAGCUCCGUACAUGAGUGAUAGCAUGAGUGAUCCUGGCUGUGGCCAGCUCCAGCCUGGACCUCCAUGUCACUGUGUGUCCUUGCCUUACACUUGGGUGCAGAGCAGCUGAGGAGGCACCAAUGCCACAAUGUACAAGGUCAUGACUGAUGCAUGUGGCCAUAGAGAAGAGUCAUGGAGUUUUAGAGCCGGAAGAAAAUUGAGAGUGUGUCAUGCCCAAAUCCCCACAUGCAAAUCAAUUAACAAAAAUUAUAUAGCCAAACAUUCACAUUGAUGCCCUGUAAUUAGUAACUGGAGUUUGAGGUACUCAACAAGGUAAUAAAGCCCAUUAACGGCCAUCAGAACCAUGGAAUCUCUUUGGCACAGCUCGUGGGUUAACAGCUGCUCGCUGGAUGAAGUGGAUGAAAGGAAGAAAAUAUUAUCUCUCUGGGUGUGUUGGGCCCCAUCCAGUCUGGGCCAGUCACACCCACGUUUCCUUUCCUGGUAUGAAUUAGCAGAAUUUCCCUCAUUUGUCUGGAGGUUGGAGGAAGAUCAAAAUAUUGAGGGUCAGACCAUUCCAUCCUACUUAAGGAGCAGACAGUGUAAGCUUAUUGGAAUGGGAUAUUAACCAGAAAUGGUUUUAUCCUGUGAUUCUCCAUUGGUUCAAGGACAACCUCCUGGACUUGGCAUUGAACCCUCUGGGGCUUCAGCCUGACUUUCCAGAAUCCUUUCCCAAACCACACCCACGCUCCAGGCUGCAGGGCUUCUCGUGGAAUUUCCAACCCCCUCUGUACUCUGAUGACUAUCUCUCUGAUGGGAUUCCCUGUCAGGAUGCCUUUCCUCCCAUAGUCUACUUGGUAGGCUCCUGUGCAUCCUUCAAAGGCCAGUUCAGCUGGGACUUGGGGACUCCCAAGUUUUCACAUAUGGAACAUUCUUCAUGCCUCUGUCUGUAGUGCUUUGUCCAUCCCCCGCUUGUAGCAGCCAGUUAUCCUGUAUUGAAUUGUUGAUCUCUAAAUGCUUGGAUGUGAAGAUCUUGUUGUUCUGCCAGCUUAACCUAGAGCCUAGCAAGAUGUAUGGUUACUUGAUAAAUACCUGUGAGUGUACAGAAGGGCAGAUGCAUAGAUGUAUAUCCCCAGAAGCUGCUUUCCGGGUUUUUUCUUCUAUAUAAAUGUAAAAUCUGUAAGGAUAGAGAUGUCCGUCUGGUUUAUUCACUGCUGAAGGACCUUGCUCCUAGAAUAGUACUUAGCCUGUAAUAGGUUUCAAUAAAUAUUUGUUGAAUGAAUGAAACACAAUAGAAUACUAUUCCAGGUCUUAACUUAAAAGAUACUGGACUUCUGUUUGUCACUAUGACCGAUUUAGAAGAAAAUAUCUAUUAGAUGUGUAAUGAUUCUUUUCUUCACGGUGGUUUCACAUUGUUGUCUUCCUUGGGGACUGCAGAUUGACACCUCCUUCUAGGAGCUUCUUGUCAUGGAUAAUUGGGCAGGAGCUUAUCUCUUUCUCCAGUGUAGGAAUUGGAGAAUCUUUAAGGGAAGGUGAGUUGGAGGUGUUGACUUCAGGAGAAGGUCCCUUUUAAGUGUGUUUAUAACACAUUUCUACCACUGCCUUUCCUGAUUUAUCUUCCUCAGUGUGGAGAUACAUGGGAGGAGACAGCACGGAGGUGCAGUUGUUUUUAGUUUACGUUCAGAGGAGAGAAGCUAUUGAGUUGCAGAAAGUGUUAGAAAUAGCCUUGGAAUUUUUCCCAAGCAACUCUGACUGAUGGCUUGACGGAGAAAGAUGAACAGCUAUUUUCACCACCUCUAAAGCAAACAUGAGUAUGGCAAGUGGCAGGACAAACCCCUCACUCAUUGCAGCCACACGACCUGGGGAGCAGCAUCCUGUUUCAUUAGCUGACUUUGCCUUGCACCUAGUAUCGCACUCUGCUUACAGUAGGCUCUCAAUAAAUGGGUGCUGCUUUUAGAAUAACUGUUUGAUGAGUUUCAUCAUGAGAAAGGGUGUUAGAGGUCAGAUCUUGGAAACUUUCCAUUUAAAAAAUGAAACAGGGUUACCCAGAGAAGGGAAUAUUCAGUUCAAGGUGUCACAAGUCUAAGGUAGCAAAAAUCAGCACCAGUGUGUCGUCCUUAUCCUGUGGGAUUUAGCUCGUGGAAUGUUUGGAUCAGCAAUCAGGAGAUGUCUCAUAAAAGGAUGCUCAGUAUUUCUGAAUCUAGGAGUGGGUUAUGGAACUUUUCAUUGCCUUCUAAACUUCAUUUGGUACCCAAAUAUUAUGACUUGAUAAUGACUAGGAGCGCUGUUCCAUACAACUCUUGCCAAAAGAAAAGGGGAAGGCACUGAAGAACACAAGAGAAAUGUUGUUCAUCCCAUUUAGUGAUGGCUUAUUAAGCCUGCAGCAGUGCCCUUUGUGUGUGGUGAGUUAGAGGUGUUGACUUCAGGAGAAGGUCCCUUUUAAGUGUGUUUAUAACACAUUUCUGCCACUGCCUUUCCUGAUCUAUCUUCCUCAAUGUGGAGAUACGCGGGAGGAGACAACACAGAGGUGCAGGAGUUCGGGGUUCAGAUAUAGUCCUGAGGCAUGCUUAACUACUGUGUAUCUUAACCAGCCUGGAGUUUGGUGUUUUGCAUGUCAACAUCAGACGUGGCUGACAUCAAGGAAUACAAAAAGUUUUCACCUCAUUUGUUGUCAGUUGGUAUUAACUGCCUAUACUUCUGGGUUGAAAAGAAAUCUGAGGCCACAUCUGGCUGUAGAGUAAAUGAAUGCUAUCCAUGGUUGGCUGGUGAUGUCUGUUGAGGACAGUGGGUAGGAAGUUAGUGUGUGGGAAACUUCAUUGCCAUCUUGGGCCAGGGAAUCUGUGAAGUUUUAUUGCCAGUAUGCUAUUGCUCCGUAGCAUUGAGUCUUUACCUUCUAAGAACUAAAAACCCCUGCAGUUAUGCAUAGAUGCUUAGUUUAAUUGAAAAAUGAAAAUACAGAAGGGCAGUGGAAGGAAUGUAAUGAUACCAAUCCCUACUUAAAAGUACUUUUUUUCUUUCUUUCUUUAGACCAUUGGCUUUAAACAGAACAAAAGAAAGGUAUAGUUGGAGUUCCCGUUGUGGCUAAGUGGUUAAUGAAUCUGAUAGGAACCAUGAGGUUGCGUGUUUGAUCCUUGGCCUUGCUCAGUGGGUUAAGGAUCAGGUGUUGCCAUGAGUUGUGGUGUAGGUCGCCAUGAGUUGCUCAGAUCCUUCGUUGCUGCAGCUCCGAUUCGACCCCUAGCCUGGGAACCUCCAUAUGCCGCAGGAUCGGCCCUAGAAAAGGCAAAAGAC